UACGGUGGCCGAGGGACAGCUGCUGCUCUCUGAGCUCUAAAUCCAGAAUCGCCCGGGAAGCUGCAGCGACAGUGGCUUCUGUAGUUGGAGCCUGGAGAAGGGCGCCUGGCAUCCGGCACCAUGGUGAAGGAGCAGUUCCGGGAGACGGAUGUAGCUAAGAAAAUGGACUACAGAGGAGGCACCAUCCCAACUCUCCACCUUCACUGAGCAGGAGGAGCAGAUGAAAAAAAUAGAGAAACUCACCCUCUGGCUAAAUAAUAUGACCUGCGAAAGAAAUGAGCUGUGUGAAUUCCUUGCCAAUUACACCAACAAGGAUUUGAACAACAGGACAAAAAGGACACAAAACUACUCUAAGUCAAUGGUUUUCAGGUAAUUGUAGAGGGAAUAAUAUUUAUCUACAAGAAAAGUCUUUGGAGGAUACCAAAGAAAUAUAGUACAGGAAGAUGAGGAGGAAGCUUCUGUGGCAAUCAAGGUGUCUGAGAGGCAAGGUAGGCUGACUGAAGAUUUCUGUCCCUUCUCUGCUCUGCAUGAAUGGUGACUGCACACUCAGUGGUCAUUGGCUCACUGUGUCUUCUGGUGCCCUGUCUUGUCCUCAUCCACAUUGCCUGCUACCACUUUCUUUCCACCUUUGCCUAACUUUUCUCAGUUAUCAUUUUCCUUAAAGGUAGGACUGGAUGUUAUUUGUUGAGGGAUUCUGACUUACGAUGUGGUUCUAGCUGCAUCUGAGUUCAUCAGAAAUUCCCUAGCCAUGCUGUGGUGUGAGAAUGGGGCUGUCUCAGUACACACCCUAGGCUCGUGAUGGUCUAAAGCACUCACCACAUGCUGUAGCACUCAGUAACUGCUUUUCUUCAAAGUUCUUCAUUUUGAGUUAAAAUCAGCCUCAUGGAGGGUUGGGAGCAAUGAGGACUCUCAGACAUUGCUGGUGGUAUAACAUAAUAUAGCACAGUGAGAAGCCACAGACUCUUCUUCAGAAAGUUAAACUGAAGUUCACAGGUGAACCAGUGAUUCCAGAAUACGAAGUAGGUGUCCAAGGAGAAGCUAGGGGACAUUAGUGUUGUAGUAGCAUUCCUCAGAGUAGCCUAAAAGUAGAAACUAUCUAGAUGUCCAUCAUUCGCUGAGUGAAAAAGUACAAUGUGAUUGAGCCCUUCCAUGAAUUAUUGUUCAGCACAAAAUAAUACAUGCAAUCAUUUGGCCCUGAUAUAGUCAGCCUUUUGUUGCUCAAAGAAAUCCUUGACACAAUCGCCUUACCAGGAGGAAUUGUUGAUUUUGACUCCUUGUUGUGGCAAUUUUCUAGGUUCCUGGGCUCUUGGGUUUUCUUGUUUCCUGAGCUCGUUUGCUCUGACAUGAGGCAGCCUGUGGUAAAGGGAGCUUCUUUUGGGGAAGUUGCUCACCUUGGGGCCAAGUGGGAAUUAGUGAAUAAGACCAGUGAGCUGGUCCAGUUGUCCUCUGCUGGGGAACAUUCCUAUACUGCACAGCCUGGGGAACUUCCUAAGCAGGGUUGGCUAACCAACCAGUACCCCAGAGGUCCAUAUGUCUGUGCAUUAGGGUCACAGGAUAGGCACUUCAAUGAUUGAGCUGCCUGUUUCUCAUGGCCACUGUAUUCUUCUCUCAUCCUACAAAAGUAAAUAUUCUUCUCAAUAGUAUCCCUGGUGAUUGUUCCUUAUAUUAACAUUAGCUGGGAAAUUAAACAUGUUACUGCAUUAAAGUGUGCUUGUAUGUGUGCACACAUGUACUUGUGUGUGUUCAUGAGUUUGUUUGCAUGUGAGUGAGAGACCCUCCACUGAGAACACAGUCUUCUAUUAAACAGGAGCAAGAGAGCCUGGAUGAAAGACUAAAGGACCUGUUGAAGCAGGAGGAGCUGGUAACCCAGCAAAAGGACAUGGCAGAAAAGAUGCAACAUCACUUCAACGUCUCUGAGAUAAGGAUCUCCUAGAUGGUCUACAUUCAAUUUCCCAGGCUGCUCACAUUCACCUGGUAUCUAAUCAAGGCCAUGAAUUUUCUGACAGUUUAAUGUCGAUGGCUUUGGCAAGCUGACUGAGCCCUCAGCCCUCUCUAGGUGGAGGGAAAUCUGUCAUGGAAGACGGUUGAUGUCAAGCUGUUCCUGACAGACUACAAAAAAAAACAUAAUUUUCAUUCUCCAUGCCAGUGUUGAAGCUGACUCCAUGUCCUGCACAAGCGUUGCUGAAGACAAUGCACCACAGAGAUCUCCACUGUCCCUCAUUCCCUGGGUGAGACACUUUUUCCUGCAUAUUUAAAAUCAGUGGGUAUGUCUCCAUUUCUCAGCCUCAAAUGAAUUGCCUUGUCCUGAGAAAGGAUUUAUAGAAGACAUCUGAGUCAUCUUUGAUGUUUUUUGGUAUUCAGAUGCUGCCCACAUAUUUGUGGAAUCUCUAAUAAGCACACAAGUGUCUGUAUGCUGAAAGAAUCAAAUAGUGACCAAGACAUUACAGGAUCAGCAGUGGGUGAUAAUUUAUCAAAAGCUUCCCAGAGGGACACAAAGAAUGCUCUAGAAAAUCUCUCAUUCUUAGUCUCAGUAAGGGCUUGGCCUACAAAGCCUGCAGGAGGCAUGGCUACAGUAGCUUUGAAAAAGGCUUUCACAUUCGCUGACUGCCUUCCUACCAUGUUUCCAAGGCCAGUCACAGGCUGUAGGUCUGUGCUGCUAAAAGUGCAGCAAGAGAAUGCUGCUGGCCUUAAUUGUUUUUGUUUUUGUUUUUGGUUGGGUUUUGUUUGCUUUGGGAUUUCUUGUUAUAGAUUGAGAUUUUGAUAUUUAUUUUUUCUUUCUUUUGAUCUUGUAGUUUUUUGGGUAUUUUGAUAAGGCUGUUCACUGUUUAUAUUGACUUCUCCCUUUAAGCCCCUAUUGAGUAAUAUUACUGUGUUUUUAUUAAUAAUAAAGUGAUUUUGAACUUU